rnacentral:misc_RNA from 1 species
GAUGAAGAACGCAGCGAAAUGCGAUAAGUAGUGUGAAUUGCAGAAUUCAGUGAAUCAUCGAAUCUUUGAACGCACAUUGCGCCCCCUGGCUUUCCGGGGGGCAUGCCUGUUCGAGCGUCUCAGGGACGAACCCUCGCGCGGGUGUACGCGCGGUCGUGGCUGCGGUGGCGUGCCCGAGGCGGCGGCCACCGCGCUGGAAUCCAUGGGCGGACGCCUGCCGCGUGGCCGAGCGUGAUAUGACGCAUUGGCGCUCGCACGCGGAGAGGCUGCCAGCCCUGGCCCGUCUGUCGGGCGGGGGAGAGCAAGACACGUGAACUCCUCGAAUCAGGUAGGGAUACCCGCUGAACUUAAGCAUAUCAAUAAGCGGAGGA